rnacentral:rRNA from 1 species
UAGAGUUUGAUCCUGGCUCACAUUGAACGCUGGCGGCAUGCUUUACACAUGCAAGUCGAACGGCAGCGCGGGGCAACCUGGCGGCGAGUGGCGAACGGGUGAGUAAUAUAUCGGAACGUACCCAAGAGUNNNGGAUAACGUAGCGAAAGUUACGCUAAUACCGCAUACGAUCUACGGAUGAAAGUGGGGGACCUUCGGGCCUCAUGCUUUUGGAGCGGCCGAUAUCUGAUUAGCUAGUUGGUGAGGUAAAGGCUCACCAAGGCGACGAUCAGUAGCUGGUCUGAGAGGACGACCAGCCACACUGGGACUGAGACACGGCCCAGACUCCUACGGGAGGCAGCAGUGGGGAAUUUUGGACAAUGGGCGCAAGCCUGAUCCAGCAAUGCCGCGUGAGUGAAGAAGGCCUUCGGGUUGUAAAGCUCUUUUGUCAGGGAAGAAACGGUCUAGGCUAAUAUCCUGGGCUAAUGACGGUACCUGAAGAAUAAGCACCGGCUAACUACGUGCCAGCAGCCGCGGUAAUACGUAGGGUGCAAGCGUUAAUCGGAAUUACUGGGCGUAAAGCGUGCGCAGGCGGUUUUGUAAGUCUGUCGUGAAAGCCCCGGGCUUAACCUGGGAAUUGCGAUGGAGGCUGCAAGGCUUGAAUCUGGCAGAGGGGGGUAGAAUUCCACGUGUAGC